UGUGACCCUGAAGCGCUAUAGCGAGAGAGAUAACCCCCUGAUGCAAGAGUGUGAGCGCGUGGACUGUGUGUAAUAUUAUACAAGUUGCGGACGCCGUGUUUCGCCUAUAGCAACGAGCCGUAUCACGCAGGGUUUCUAUUCCACUCUAUUAUGCAGCGUUUCUAGUCCACUUUUGGAUUACGGCAGAGAUCUUCCUCUGUGGAGUUCUAUGCAUAUGGACCUCUGAUGUCUA